GGAGAGGUGGCUGAGCUGGUCUAAGGCGCACGACUGGAAAUCGUGUGACGGCUAAUACCCGUCCGAGGGUUCGAAUCCCUCUCUCUCCGCCA
rnacentral:tRNA from 1 species